CCUCAGGUGAGUCAGUUACAGUCAGGUAUCAGAUCAGGAGAAACAGGUUUUGACUCCAUUUAGCAGCAGAACAGAACAAAGAGAAGACUCUGGAUCAGGGCUGACUGAAGUCCAGAAGAUGGAGGAUUGUGAUCUAAAGGAGAACAGAGCAGAUCCUCCAGGAUCCAGCUGUCCAUCUUUGAGGAGUGACUGGUCCAAAGAAUACCCUCCAGACUUCAGUGAAGAACCUGGACCCUCAGAGCUGACUGAAGUCCAGACGAUGGAGGAUUGUGAUCUAAAGGAGAACAGAGCAGAACCUCCAGGAUCCAGCUGUCUGUCUAUGAGGAGUGACCUGUCCAAACAUUCACCUGAAGACUUCAGUGAAGAACCUGGACCGUCAGACUCAGAACCAGGAGCUGGACUGCUGGCAGCCAAUCAGAGC